rnacentral:rRNA from 1 species
CACCGCGGUUAUACGAAAGACCCUAGUCGAUAGGAACGGCGUAAAGGGUGGUUAGGGAAGACUCAAAAUAAAGUUAAAGAGCCUCUAAGCCGUCGCACGCAUCCCGAGAGCUCGAGAACCAAACACGAAAGUAACUUUAAAAAUACCUCACCUGACCCCACGAAAGCUAAGAAA